rnacentral:tRNA from 4 species
GGGGAUAUGGUGUAGGGGUAUCACGUUUGCUUUGCAUGUAAAAGGUCGGGGGUUCAAAUCCCUCUGUCUCCA